rnacentral:rRNA from 1 species
CGUAGGGGGCAAACGUUGUCCGGAUUUACUGGGUGUAAAGGGUGCUCAGGCGGUUUUGUAAGUCAGAAGUGAAAUCCUAGGGCUUAACUCUGGAACUGCUUUUGAUACUGCAAGGCUUGAAUAUGGAAGAGGAGGGCGGAAUUUCUGGUGUAGCAGUGAAAUGCGUAGAUAUCAGAAAGAACACCAGUGGCGAAGGCGGCCCUCUGGUCCAUUAUUGACGCUAAAGCACGAAAGCGUGGGGAGCAAACAGGAUUAGAUACCCUGGUAGUCCACGCCUUAAACGAUGAAUACUAGACGUUGGGGUUAAACUCAGUGUCGCAGCUAACGCAUUAAGUAUCCCACCUGGGGAGUACGAUCGCAAGGUUG